UGGUAUAAAGACAGAGUGUAUUAAACCGUACAGUACAGAAAUACAUUACAUUAGGGAAUUAGACACUAGCUUUUUUGCCCAUAUCUCUGUGCUUGCCUUCACGUGAUUCUGACUUGUACUCCGACAGCUGCUCCCCUAGCUAUUAGCUUAUUACAUGCUUUGUCACGUACCGCUUGCUCCUAUCGCCAUCUCAGUCCUCUCUCUCUACG
rnacentral:lncRNA from 1 species